ACCCCCACCUAGGAACAAGGAGCUGAUAUCAGGCACAAUAUUUGCCCAAAACAUCUAGCUGUACCACACCCACAAGGGUCCUCAGCAGUGAUCAACAUUAAUCAUAAACGUCAGUUUGACUUAGCCAAUGAAAAUAGAGCCGGCUAAUCUGGUGCCAGCCGCCGCGGUUACACCAUGAGGCUCAAAUUGAUUUGAAUACGGCGUAAAGCGUGAUUAAAGAAAUUAAACAAUGGGGUUAAACCUGAACUAAACUGUGAUACGCUUGUUCAUCAGAAAGACACUAUUCGAAAGAUACCCCAACACACCCACUUGAACUCACGAUAACUAGGACACAAACUGGGAUUAGAUACCCCACUAUGCCUAGUCAUAAACCUUAAUUCACCCCUCCAAUCGCCAGGGAACUACGAGCAAAGCUUAAAACCCAAAGGACUUGACGGUGCCCCACAUCCCUCUAGAGGAGCCUGUCCUGCAAUCGAUAACCCACGUUCAACCUCACCACUUUUAGCUUUUCAGCCUGUAUACUUCCGUCGCCAGUUCACCGCGUGAGCGAAUAGUUAACUUGAUGUUAUCCACAAUACGUCAGGUCGAAGUGCAGCAAAUAAAGUGGAAAGAGAUGGGCUACACUCUCUACUAUAGAAAAUACGAAAACUAAAUGAAAACUCAGUCAGAAGGUGGAUUUAGCAGUAAGAUAAAAUAGAAUAUCUAUCUUAACUCGGCACUGGGGCGUGUACACACCGCCCGUCACCCUCUUCAACAAAACUAUACAAGUACUUAACAAGUCUAUCUCAAUAGAAGAGGUAAGUCGUAACAUGGUAAGCAUACCGGAAGGUGUGCUUGGAAG
rnacentral:ncRNA from 1 species